rnacentral:rRNA from 1 species
AUUGAACGCUGGCGGCAUGCCUUACACAUGCAAGUCGAACGGUAACAGGUCUUCGGAUGCUGACGAGUGGCGAACGGGUGAGUAAUACAUCGGAACGUGCCCGAGAGUGGGGGAUAACGAGGCGAAAGCUUUGCUAAUACCGCAUACGAUCUCAGGAUGAAAGCAGGGGACCGCAAGGCCUUGCGCUCACGGAGCGGCCGAUGGCAGAUUAGGUAGUUGGAGGGAUAAAAGCUUACCAAGCCGACGAUCUGUAGCUGGUCUGAGAGGACGACCAGCCGCACGGGGACUGAGACACGGCCCAGACUCCUACGGGAGGCAGCAGUGGGGAAUUUUGGACAAUGGGCGCAAGCCUGAUCCAGCCAUGCCGCGUGCAGGAUGAAGGCCUUCGGGUUGUAAACUGCUUUUGUACGGAACGAAAAGACUUCUUCUAAUAAAGGGGGUCCAUGACGGUACCGUAAGAAUAAGCACCGGCUAACUACGUGCCAGCAGCCGCCGUAAGAC